rnacentral:lncRNA from 1 species
CGCCGCUGCCACCAGCGCGCCGGUGCCGCGUAGACUCGUGUGCCCUUGCUACCUAACUCGGGCUUCCCGGGGCCUGACCCCCGGGGCCCUCGGCAGGCGUCGGCCGAGCCUGUUCGCGAACCUUCGGUCCUCCACUCGCCCUUCACGACCCCGCAGCGCGACUCGGACAGGGAGCGAGAGGGACUGUGGCGACUCCGCGCCUUGUGUCGCCGGGCGGGGCCGCGGGGCCGGGGCUCCUCCAGCCCCCGGGAUGCGUGCGCGAGCUCUCGCCUCCACUUUCUCUUUACCACUGUCACGCUUGGAGCCGCCUCUCGCCUACAGCGGGGAGCGCGAGUGCACCGAUCAGCACCCCUGUCGAGCCCCGGUGCCGGGUACCCCCGGGAAUGUGAGCCGUGAGGCUCGCAAGCUCCUCCGGCCAUGGACGCACCGUAUGACGGCACUGAGGUAACUGUCCUGAUGGAGGAAAUCGAGGAAGCUUAUUACACUUCCCCUGGGCCACCU